GGGCCUGUAGCUUAGCCAGGUAGAGCGACGGACUUUUAAUCCGUUGGCCGGGGGUUCNAAUCCCCUCAGGCCCG
rnacentral:tRNA from 1 species